rnacentral:rRNA from 1 species
CAUGGCGGCCUCGGGUCCAUCCCGGGGCCACGCCCGUCUGAGGGUGG